rnacentral:ncRNA from 1 species
AUAAUGAUACUUCGACUUGGCUUAGCAUUGGCUGAGAAGUCGCUCGGUGGAAACGGAGAGGUGAAAUUCCUAUGU